rnacentral:rRNA from 1 species
UACGAAGGGGGCUAGCGUUGUUCGGAAUUACUGGGCGUAAAGCGCGCGCAGGCGGUUUUCCAAGUCAGUGGUGAAAGCCCGGAGCUCAACUCCGGAACUGCCAUUGAAACUGUUAAACUUGAGGACGAGAGAGGUGAGUGGAAUUCCCCAGUGUAGAGGUGAAAUUCGUAGAUAUUGGGAAGAACACCAGUGGCGAAGGCGGCUCACUGGCUCGUAACUGACGCUCAGGCGCGACAGCGUGGGGAUCAAACAGG